rnacentral:tRNA from 1 species
GGGUGUGUAGCUCAGCUGGUAGAGCAUCGAUCUCCAAAGUCGGCGGUCGGGGGUUCGAAUCCCUCCGCACUCG